rnacentral:rRNA from 1 species
AACUAACGCUGGCGGCGUGCCUAACACAUGCAAGUCGUACGAGAAAGCCGGCUUCGGCUGGUGAGUAAAGUGGCGCACGGGUGAGUAACGCGUGGAUAAUCUGCCCUUAAGUGUGGAAUAACGUACCGAAGGGUGCGCUAAUACCGCAUAAUGCCUGGCAACACAAGUUGUCCGGCCAAAGAAGGCCUCUGUUUACAAGCUUUCGCUUCAGGAUGAGUCCGCGUACCAUUAGCUUGUUGGUGGGGUAAUGGCCUACCAAGGCUGCGAUGGUUAGCUGGUCUGAGAGGAUGAUCAGCCACACUGGAACUGAGACACGGUCCAGACUCCUACGGGAGGCAGCAGUGAGGAAUAUUGCGCAAUGGGGGCAACCCUGACGCAGCAACGCCGCGUGAGUGAGGAAGGUUUUCGGACUGUAAAGCUCUGUCGAGCGGGAAGAAGUGUACCAUGGCUAAUAUCCAUGAUAUUUGACGGUACCGCUAGGG